AACCGCUGCCAAAUGAGACAGCCUCUGCCGGCGCAGCUGAAACUUUUUACAGCCUCCCCUCAUUUCGACAGGAAGAGACACAGGGAGCAAAUUUGUAGGAGAGGGAGAAAAAAAAAGGGCGAAAUAAAUCUUUGUAGCGUCUGCAACUAAGGCACUGCGUCAAGGAUUUCCUUCUGUACUUUCACGCUCCCCUACUUUGGCAAGGUGCCAUUCGAAAAGGUUUAAAAGUGAUCUCUCUCUCUGCAGGGAGUAUUGAACGGGGGAACGGAUGUGCUAGGAAGUGAAGAGUUCACCGAGUUCAGUAAAUGAAAAAUAUGUAAAUGCAUCAAUAACAAAGGGACUGUGACGUCACGCACUGUGCUGCCCAGGACAGUGCCUGCGAGUAGACGGGACAAGCGUGCGCACAUCUGACAAGAUGCCAUCUGCGUACCAUAAAGAGGAUGCCUGUUUUACAUCAGAACUUUCUUGCACAGGAAGAUGACCAUGUGAAUUCUGUUGCUGCAACGACUGACACGUUGUAGUAACUUCCUCUUUCACGGUAAGGACUUGACAAACUUUUAGUGACUGCAAACUCCACUGCAAACUGCGAUAGCAUCUCCAGUGCGUAUUUUGAUACCAUUUUGCCACUCUUGACUAAAUGACUGCAUGCAAAGUGCAACUUGGACGAUGAUGUCAAACACAUGGCGAGUCAUAAAACCAAAUGAAUCAGGCAAGUGGGAUCAGCCAACUGUGGUGUUUUUCAAGGUUCUUUGAGGAAGUACUGCGGACCACUCAUGUUUUCCUGAUAAAGAGAUACAAAACGCAGGCAGUGAUAGAACAGCCUCUGGAUGUGUAUAAUGAUUAGCGAGGACUAUAACUGGACGGCUCAAACUACCUGGGACAGAUGCCAAAUGCUGACAAAGGCAAUCAUUGCAUUCUCAGGGGCGAGCAAAAUCAACUCUUCGUCCUCUCGCACUUCUUUUGGGAGGGUUAUUUAUAUUACUCGAGAAACCACCGAAACCAUUGACUAAUUGCUGAAGGAGUCGGUCACAUGUUUUGGCUAAAGGGCACAACCCCCCCCAAAAAAAAAAAAAAAAAUCAUGUAAGUAUCGACCAGUUCUGACUCUUUCUCGCCUCUUCUGUCGGGACCCGCUCGGCCGAUCAAGUUUUUCCUUUAAAUAAUCAAUUCUGACCGCUUAUUUUCCAGACGUCUGCUUGGAAUAACUUUGACUGGGGCAGAUGGGUUCAAGCUGACUCUCUUGCAUUCCCAUAAAUACAAGUUUAUCAUGCUAGUCUAGCAAAAGCUAGUCUGCUUUUUCUGCAUGGCAAACCCUCUCUUCUUGAUCUCUGCGUUCUUUUUCAUUUCUCAGUCCCUUUCUUUCUCCACCUCCUCUCUCGCUCUCUCAGCUUCUGUCUUUCUCUUCGCAUCCUGUGCCAAAGUGGGCAGGGAGAAAGAGCUCGUGGUGAGGCGGGUGAAGCGGAGGCCGCUGUACGUGCUCUUUCUUCAGCCACAACCCCAUGGAAGAGCAUGUUUGGUGGCAGCACAUAGGUCUCUCUCCCCGAGAUAGGCGUACUAUGUGCACGAGUCUACCUCUUCUCGCCGCCAUGACCCUGCCUUGUGUUCUUUGACGUUGAAGCCUCUAGUCUGCAGAGACGCAGCCUCUGUCCCAAAACCCAUUGAGCCGCCUACCUAGGGAGCGUUUUAAGACAUCAUAGGUGCACUCCCAACUUGAAGGUGGUUCCAAAAGGAAUGAAUCCUGCGGUCUGCUGUCUGACUGGUUGACGUCUGUUCUGCUGUCCUUGGGGCUGAGGUAGUAGAUUGAAUAGUUGUGGAGCACGGUGCUCUCUCACUGAGAUAACUAUACAAUCUACUGUCUUUCCUAAGGCGACAGCCAAAUCAUCCACAAACAACGACGUGGACCCGUUUGAGAUAACCACCUCGCACGCUUCCUGCAGUCUGCAGUCGUCCAAUGACUCGGAAAGGAUAUUCAAUCAUAUUACAGAAGUAAAAUGGGUUGCGAUUGAUUUUUCACGUUCACAAGUGUGUCGUAGGAUUUGCAUUUUGGUGUCUGGACAGGGUGAGGUAGUAGGUUGUAUAGUUUGGUGGAAGGGAUCAAACCCUGUUCAGGUGAUAACUAUACAGUCUAUUGCCUUCCUUGUGGUACCAACUAUCGGCCCACUAGCUGAAACUCACUGAAAUUUGUAGUUAGAAUAUAGUUAGAGUUAUCAUUCUUGGUGUGAACGGGACUUUAAAGCUGCAUGUUUGUGUGCAUUGCCUAACAUUUUACCUAACAAGCCUGAACAACAUCUGUGUGUCUGAUGCAAGCUUAACAUGCUGAUCUAGAAUGACAAAUCAGAUUAAAUGAGAUUUACUGAGCUCGGAUUUAUGGCUUUAUCAAUAAUUUAGCUUUUCUGUUGGCUUGUGAUCAAACACUUUUCACACAUCAUAACAGGAAAUUCAGUUUCAAUCAGACAAUAUAUAUGGCCUUGUUCUGUGAAUGAAUGUCACAAUGUCCAUUAUAUGUUCUUGUUCUGUGAAUAAAUGAGUUUGAUUCUCAACACA